GUGAAGCUGAAGAGUAGGAAAAUAAACUACUCAAAAUACAGAGGAACAAUUUUUCAAAAUAAAAAGGGCAUUGAUGAACUGUGGGACAACGUUAAGCAAUCAAAUGUCCAUGUAACUGGAGUCUUAUGAAAGGGAAGAGAAAAAUAAUGGCCAAAAGUUUUCCAAGUUGAGUGACAGCUAUAAAACCACAAAUCUAAGAAGCACAAUGAAACCCAAUCUUAAGAAACAGGAGUAAAAUGACACCACUGUAUAUCAUCAUCAAAUUGCUACAAACCAGUGAUGAAGACAAAGUUUUAGACUAGACAGAGAAAUAAAACUGAAAGGACCAAAGACAAAAAUGACAGAAUUCUCAGUGGAAACGAUAGAGGCAAGAGCAUGGUGUAACAACAUCUUUAAGGUAUGAAAAGCAAAAACUCUACCAACCUAGAAUUCUACACCCAGUGAAAGUAUCUUUCAAAAAUAAAGGCAAAAUAGUGACUUGUCAGACACUGAAAGAAUUUAUCACAGCAGUUAUGUACUAUAAGGAAUGUUAAAAGAAGUCCUUCAGGGAAAAAAAAAAUACGGUAACAGGUGGAAAUAGGGAUCUUCAUUUACAAAGAAUGAAGAUCACUGGGAAUAGUAACUAUGUGGGUAGAUAUACACUAUUUCUUAUUGUUUAAAUCUUUUUGCAAGAUAUCUGACAGAGUAACCAAAAAUAAUAGUAACAUAUUGUUGGGUUUUAAACCUAUGUAAAGUUAUACAUGUAUGCCAGCGUAGAGGUCAGAGAGGAGAGAUGCUAAUAUACUACUAUAAGAUUUCCAUGCUACUUGUGAUGUGACAUAGUAUCAUUUGAAGGUAUACUGUUAAAAUGUAUCCUAUAAAUCGUGAAGCAAGCACUAAAGAGCAAAGCAACGAGUUACAGCAAAUAAGCCAACAAGGGAGGUAAAAUUGAAUAAUGGAAAAUAUUCAGUUAACCCAAAAGAAGGCAGAAAAAGAGAGAAAAGGGAACUGAGGUCAGAAAGGACAAAUAGAAAGCAAAUACCAAGAUGAUGGGCUUUAACCUAACCAUAUCAAUAAUCACAUUAAAUGUAAAUGCACUAAUUGUUUCAGUUAUAAGGCAGAAAGAACUCUCUGCCUUUUACCCAAUUAGAUAAAAAAACAACAAGAUUCUACUCCAUGCUGCUUGCAAGAAACACACUUUAAAUAUAAAGGUACAAAUGACAGUAAAAAGAUAGGGGAAAUCUACCAUGCUAACACUAAUCAAAAGGAAGCUUUGGUGGCUGAUUUAAUGUCAGUUUAAGUAGAAUUCAAAACAAAGAAUAUCAGGGAUAAAGAAGGUAGUUUAAUAAUUUAAUAAAGGGAUCCUUCAUUAAGAGAACAUACCAACCGGGCACUGGGGUGUCUCAGUCGGUGAAGUGUCUGACUUUGGCUCAGGUCAUGAUCUCUCAGUUCCUGGGCUCGAGCCCCACGUCAGCUCUGUGCUGACAGCUCAGAGCCUGGAGCCUGCUUCAGAUUCUGUCUCCCUUUUCUCUGCCCCUCCCCCACUUGCUCUCAUGCGUGCUCUCUCUCUCUCUCUCUCUCUCUCUCUCUCUCAAAAAUAAAUAAACAUUUAAAAAAAAAGGAGUGAGAGAGAAUAUAGCAACCCUAAAUAUUUAUGUACCUCGUAAGAGAGCUUCAAAAUACAUGAAGCAAAAACUCAUGGAACUGCAAAGAGAGAUAGACAUAGCCACAACUAUGAGAUUUAACACUUUUCUCUCAAAAAUUGGUAGAACAAGUAGAACCAGCAAGGAUAUAGUAGACUUUAACAGCGUCAUCAACCCCAUGACCCAGUUAACAUUUAUAGAACAUUCUACCCGAUAACAGCAGAGUGUACAUGCUUUUCAAGUACAUGCAGAGCAUUUACCAAGAUUGAUCAUAUUCUGGGUUGGAAAACAAGUCUCCAUAAAUUUAAAAGGAUUCAAGUGAUACAAAGUAUGUUUUCUGACCACAGUGGAAUUAAAUUUAGAAACCAAUAACAGAACAGUCUCUUAACAUUUCCAAAUGUUUGGAAACUAUAACUCACUUAUGAAUAACAGAUGGGUCAAAGAAGAAAUCAAAAGGAAAAUUAGAAAACGUUUUGAACUGGGGCGCCUAGGUGGCUCAGUCCGUUGGGCAUCCGACUUCGAAUUCAGGUCGUGAUCUCACGGUUCGUGAGUUGGAGCCCCGCGUCGGGCUCUGUGCUGAUAGCUCAGAGCCUGGAGCCUGCUUUGUAUUCUGUCUCCCUCUUUCUCUGCCCCUCCUCCACUCAUGCUCUGUCUCUUUCUUAAAAAUAAAUAAACAUUUUUAAAAAAUGUUUUGAACUGAAUGGUAAUGAAAACAACAUAUCAGAAUUUGUGGGAUGUCACUAAAGCAGUACUUACAGGGAAAUUUGUAGCAUUAAAUGCUUAUAUUAGAAAAGAAAAAUGGUGUCAAAUUGACAACACCAGCUUCUACUUUAAGAAACCAGAAAAAUAAGAACAAGUUAAUCCAAAAUAAACAGAAGAAAGGAAAUUUUAAAAAGAUCAAAGCAGAGAUCAAUGAAGUAGAAAAGAGAAAAACAAUAGGAAAAAAAUCAAUGAAACCAAAAGCUGACACUUUGAGAUGGUCAAUUAAAUGGAUUAACUUCUAACCAGACUGAUGAGAAAGAGAAGACGCAAAUUACCAAUAUCAGGAAUGAGGUGAUGUAACUAUAGAUUCUAUAAUGAUUAGGAGAAUAGUAAAGGAAUAUCCUGAACAACUUUAUGCCUGUAAAUUCAGCAACUUAGUUGAAAUGAUAAAUUCCUUGGAAGUUCACUCAAAAAGGAAAUAAUUAACCAAAAUAGUCCUAUAUAUAUUAAAGAAAUUGAUAUUAUAGUUAAGAACCUCCCUACAAAGAAAACUUUAAGCCCAGAUGGGUUCAUUGGUGAAUUCCACGAAGUAGAAUUUAAGAAAUAAUACAAACAACUCUUCUACACCAACUCUUCCAAAAAAUUAAAGAGAGUGGAGUACUUUCCAACUCAUUGUGAACUCAGCAUUACCCUGAUACUAAAACAAGGCGAAGAUAUUGCGAGAAAAUUACAUUAUCGACCAGCGUCCCUCAUGAACAGAUUGGACAGGUGCUGUUAUUGUUAUCAUUGUCAUUACUCACCUUUUUUUCAGAUCAGCAAAUAGAAGAAUCAAAAUGGGGGAGGGAAAGAGAUCUGGGGCAAAAGUCACACAGGUACACCCUGAGUUCUAACUAGAGUUUAGUUGGAAAUGGAUUUGUUGUCGUGGUUUGCUAACCAUUAUCCAAAACGCCCAGAAAAAGAGGUAGGGAAUCAGGAAGAGGGAAAGCCCUGAGGGGGAAAUGGCCCCAUGGGCCCAGGAGAGCUGGCAAUGCUGAGGUCCUAUUCAAGGACAACCACCUCCCCCCCUUGAUAGUGUGGCCUUGCUGAUGCUGAAGGUUUGAGAACCAGGAAAGCCUGAUCUUUAUUGGUACUCCGAGAAUCUUCUCAAAUGGUGAUGUAAACCUGAGCAAGAAAGGCCAGGGAUGUAACCUGCCCCCUGCACAGCCAUGUCAUGGAUGUAUCCAGAGCUAAUUAAAUCAGGAACCUAAUCUAAAGUCACUGGGCUUCUUUCCCACUCCUCCACCCCGAGUCUGUAGCCCACCUAAAAUACAGCUAGCCCCUACUCAUUUAUACGAAAACAAUCAAGUGUCAGUCCCUGCCUUAAGGAAAUCUCAAGCCUGUUAGUCACUGUUAACUGUCUGUGAGUCAUUCAUUCAUUCAUUCAUUCAUUCAGUAAAUAUUUAUCAUGUGCCUACCAUGUGUGCUUAUUGUAUAGGCUAGUCCCUGGGGAAACAGCAAUGAACAAAAUAGCCAAAAUUUCCUUUUUUCCUGGUGUUUACAUUCUACUGGGUGGAAGAGGUCAUAAAUAAAUGCAUUAUUUUUUCAGAUGGUGAUAAAUGAUAUAAGAAACAUAAACAGAGUGAGGGGUAGAGAAAGUAAUAGGAAUGGAAUGGAUUUUUAUUUCCCUGCUGGGGGGAGGCCUCUCUAAUGAGAUGACAUAUGAACAGAGAUAUGAAGAAGUGUGAGGUCUAUCUAGCAGGGCAGUUAACUGGGGGAAGAGGCCUGCAGGCAGAAGAAACAAUAAGUGCAAAGGCCCCAGGGCCAUCAUGCUUGCCUUAUGGAGCCCAGUGAGCCAGGAGGAAAGUGAUGAGAAGCAAGCCUGGAGAGAUGUCAGGGCCACGGUGGGACUUUGGCUUUGACCAAAGGGAGUAAAAUGGGAAACUCUGGAGAGUUUUGAGCACUGAGCGACAUAGUCUGAUUUUCAUUUUCAAAGGAUCACUUCAGUUGCUAUGUUAAGAAUAGACUGUAGGCGGCCAAGAGUGGAGCAGGGAAGCCAGUUAGGAGUUUAUUACAGCCAGGCGGGCAGAGAAGAGGGACAAUGACUCAGACCACCGUGGCAGAGAAGGAGCAGAGAAGCAGUGGCCAUGUUCUAGAAAUAUUUUGAAGGUGGAGAUGAUGGGAUUUACUUAUAGACAAUAUGGAUAUGGAAAAAAAAAAAAAAAGAGCGAGAGAGAGAGAAGAGACUGAGACAAUGCGAGGUUUUUGGCCAGAGCAACUGUGAAGAUGGAGUUGCCAUUUACAGGAACAAAGGCUUGGAGAAGAGCAGAUUUGGGGAAAAUCAAGAUUUCUAUUUCAGCCAAGUUUAAGACAUUCCUGAACAUCCAAGUGACGAGGUCAAGUAGGCAGUUUAAUAAACGGUGCCAUUUAUGUUGUGAAAAAUGGGAAUGGUGACGGGAUCCUUUUUGAGUUGCUGUGUUUUUAUUGUGGUUUUAAUUAACUUGCUUUCCUUGAAUAGCAAGAAGUGUUUGAGGCGUAAUGGGUAGUAAAUCUAAAAAUGAUCCAAGAUCGGCUGUGGUCUGCGGUGUGGUGUGUGGGAUGACGAAGUUUGUGCGCACGUUCGGGUCACGGCAGGAGCCGUGCCCACCCCCACCCACCAUCGGCAAUGGGAAUGACUGGCUGGAGUCCGCACCCACCCCUCUCCCACCCGCCACGGCGCGGAGAGGUUUGUCAGACCCUCUGUAGAACAGUGACAGGCUUGGAAGACAUAUUUAGUAAGUAUUAGCAGUUUUUACCCUUUUUAGCAUGAUUCGUGUGCUGGAGUGAGCUUGCUUGGCACGUCUAUAAUGGAGUACUUCAGUAUAAGAUGAGCACCCCCGAGAUGCUCAGGCCGGGAGGGGUGAAGCCUCCCUAGUUUGGCAGCUGUUAGCAGGGCGGUUGUGUAGGUAGGGGUAGGGGCAGGAGGGCAGAGAGAAGGGCUGUCGCCUGAGUGAUUUGUGAGCUGGGAAAGGAAAAAGUCCAGAUUUCCUUGGGAGCAUCACUGAUUUUUCAGGAGGCUCAAAUCAGUUCUCCUCUGAAAUUAAACGACUCUCUUCUGAACAGACAACAGUGAUUGACCCAUCGGACCUAAUAUCGGAAUUUAAAGGUCCUCAUGAGCCUUACAAUAAAAUGGCAGCCAACAAAAUCUCUCCAAUUGACUUCUUUUCUGUAAUUUUAAAAGCGAAUUUCAGUGAAUUCAGCCCUUGGGUUGAAAUUACGGAGAUAAAUGGCUUGUAAGCAAAAAUGGCUGUGUGUCAAAACGGGCAUAUAUAUCCCCUACAAUUUAUGCUAGGCAAAAACCACUUGACAUCCCCAUGAGCUGAUGUGUGGUUUGUGUUCUUUUAUCAUUUCUGCAGACAAAUGCAUUUUCUAAGUCUUCUAGAAAUGGAUGCUGUGUACUCCAUGAGUAAUAACAGUGUCUCCCAUUUAUCAAGUGCUUGUGUGCCAAGCAUGGGGCUGAGCACUUUACCAGCCUGCCUCGAUUUACUUCUUCCCACUUUGAGGUUUUGUGUGAUCAUAUUUUUUUUCCUUUAGGUUUCAACAUUGUUUUCUCGUUUACAAAAACACCGUUACAACUCUUUGUAACUCCAGCCUCUCUGAAAUUGUUUGUAUCUAACGGGGAUCACUAGCUCCAUUUUCCAGAUGCACAAACUGAACCUCAGCUGAGCUCAGCCAGUAGAAAGCAGAGAAGACUCAAACCUGGAUCCAAGCACAUGCUUUUUCUGCUGCUUCACACACAGCAGACUGAGACCUAUUCCUCACAGAGAAGGAGGGAGACAGUUUUUAAAUUCGAAUCCUUUGUGCGUCAAGGUUCUUGGGCCAGGCAUAGCGAGCAGGAUUGGCUAGAUAAAUAUAAAUAGACACAAGCAGAAGACUACUCAGGUUGCAUUUCACUCACCGUGCUGAAGGUAAUACAUGUUUGUCCGGAGCAGACAAAUAACACUCAAUAAAAGUGGUUACAGAGAUGAGUUUGAUUUCGAAGUGGUGUUGGCCUUGAAAGGGUUUAAGGAAAAGGAGAAAGAUGACUGUAAGAUAAGGGUGAUUAUCUGUUCUCUCCCUUCAUUAAGGUGGCAUCCCGGACAGCGUGGCGGUGAGACAAGUGGAGCAGGUCGUUGGGGAGCCGUGUUGCAUAGAUAAGGACAUCGUUCACCCCUGACUAUUUCCAAGACAUUUCUAACAGCUGUGUAAUAUUCCACAAGAACUUAACCUACUCAGCCCUUGUUCUGUCGAUGGGCAUACCAAUGGUUUUCAGUUCUCUGUUCCUGGACACAGAGUGGCAGCAACCUCCUUGAACACAUGUCUUUACAAUUUUGUUUUUUCUUUUUUCCUCUUUCAUGAAUCAAGAAUCUUGAUAAUUAAAGCCCAUUUCCUCUUAACGAUGUUUGCCUGGCUAUUGGCAUUUAACUGAGAUCUGAAGUGUGGUCCUUCUGGUGGUUAUUUCAUGCUGAUCAUUCCGGGCACCUUGACAUGCCAUGUUGAUUAGCCAGAGUUCCUCCUUCCUGCUGUCAGCCUGUGUUUAAAGCUUGAGCACAUGGAAUACCUUGCGUGUUACAUCUGUGAGAGGACCACCUUUUAUCAUGUGGGACAGCCAUGUGAAGAAACUGUUGGAUUUCGCUGUGUGCUUUAAAAAAAUUUUUUGCAUUGUUUUUACAACUGUGUUAAAACUAGAUACGGUCUGAACCAAGGGCUUUCCAAAAUGUGAGUUCAGAAGGGAAGGAAAAGAGAGCACAAACCAAGAUCCCUUAAGUACUGCUUGUAUCUGAAGUCUGGUGUGGGUUAGGGGGUGGAACAGUGGUGACGAACGGAUGGCGCAUAAUUAAUCAUAAUAAGCCUUUGUGAUCCUCUGCGCUGUCCAGUGAGAAGACGGAAGAGCCGCUAGGUGCUUCUGGCGUUUAGCAAAGCCUUCCCUGAAUGGAAAGGGACCUUCAUCAAGAUGUCAGCCUUGGCACAUGUUGUCACACUAAUCUUCUGGCUCCUCUGAUUCCAGCCAGGCUGUUGAAGAGAAAGCCAGCACCUGACCCAUCCCCCAGAGAGGUGUACAGAAGGGCUGGGAGCCAAGCCCCAGCUGAGGAGAGAAGGUUUGCUGAAGGGAUGUGUCAUAGAGGCCCCAGAUCUGCAUCUGGAGGGAGGAUAGGGGGGCAGGAGCUUUUCACACUCUGCCCACUAAAACCCAGUUUCUUCCUUUUGUUCCAGAGCCUGGA